rfam:Triticum aestivum genome assembly, contig: Triticum_aestivum_CS42_TGACv1_scaffold_644166_T_2BS-0.225756_2DS-0.135094
CACAUACUCCCUCCGUCCGGAAAUACUUGUCAUCAAAAUGAUGAAUAAAAGGGGAUGUAUCUAGAUGUAUUUUAGUUCUAGAUACAUCCUUUUUUGUUCAUUUUAAUGACAAGUAUUUUCGGACGGAGGGAGUAGUAU